GCGGGGUUAGCUCAGUUGGGAGAGCGUCAGACUGAAGUCAUACUUCAAUCACCACAUCUGAAGGUCGUGCGUUCGAUCCGCACACACCGCA